GUUUACUUCAACUUCAGUUUAUCAUUCCACUCUGAUAUCUGCUAACAAUCUCAAGACAGCUGAGCAAGUCUAUGCACACUACAAAAUGGAUUAGACAUCUGCAAGUCAUAGAAAAGUAGAGGACAAUGAAAGAUGAAGAAAACCAUCAGGCUAAACAAGCAGUGCAGAAGACUGACUCUUUAACCAUCACAGCAGGGGGCAGAAUCUGUACCCCAGGAAGCCUUUGGCACAGACUGUGGACCUUGAGCUAUAUGCGGAGAGCAAAAAGACCUUUUAGUUGACCCUUGAAUGAUGGAUAUAGGGUACUGCACUCUUCGAACCUGGAUUCCCUUAAUGUGGAGGGCUAGGGAUACUGGUAACUUGACAUA